AGUGAACGCUGGCGGUAGGCCUAACACAUGCAAGUCGAACGGCAGCACAGGAGAGCUUGCUCUCUAGGUGGCGAGUGGCGGACGGGUGAGGAAUACAUCGGAAUCUGCCCAGUCGUGGGGGAUAACGUAGGGAAACUUACGCUAAUACCGCAUACGACCUUCGGGUGAAAGAGGGGGACCGCAAGACCUCUCGCGAUUGGAUGAGCCGAUGUCGGAUUAGCUAGUUAGCGGGGUAAUGGCCCACCAAGGCGACGAUCCGUAGCUGGUCUGAGAGGAUGAUCAGCCACACUGGAACUGAGACACGGUCCAGACUCCUACGGGAGGCAGCAGUGGGGAAUAUUGGACAAUGGGCGCAAGCCUGAUCCAGCCAUACCGCGUGGGUGAAGAAGGCCUUCGGGUUGUAAAGCCCUUUUGUUGGGAAAGAAAUCUUUCAGGCUAAUACCCUGGGAGGAUGACGGUACCCAAAGAAUAAGCACCGGCUAACUUCGUG
rnacentral:rRNA from 1 species